rnacentral:rRNA from 1 species
UACGGGGGGGGCAAGCGUUGUUCGGAAUUCCUGGGCGUAAAGGGCUCGUAGGUGGCCAACUAAGUCAGACGUGAAAUCCCCCGGCUUAACCGGGGAACUGCGUCUGAUACUGGAUGGCUUGAGUUCGGGAGAGGGAUGCGGAAUUCCAGGUGUAGCGGUGAAAUGCGUAGAUAUCUGGAGGAACACCGGUGGCGAAGGCGGCAUCCUGGACCGACACUGACGCUGAGGAGCGAAAGCCAGGGGAGCAAACAGG